AUCACAAUUAACUAAUUUUUUUAUAGGCACAUUAUGGUGUGGCGUUGGGUCAAUUGCUAAAAAUAAAGACGAAUUUGGUUUUUUUAAACAUACUGAUGCUUGUUGUCGUGAACAUGACAAUUGUCCCUGGAUUUUAUCCCCGGGAAAAAGAUUAUUCAAUCUUUAUAACGAUGGAACUUACACGCGCUCGCAUUGUGAUUGUGACAAAAAAUUUUACAAUUGUUUAAAAAAUGUGUCGACUGUUAUUUCAUUUAAAAUAGGCAUUGAAUAUUUUAAUCUUUUAGCGCCGUCUUGUUUUACUUAUGAUCAUCCGAUUAAACGAUGCGUCAAAUAUCAUGGAUUAAGAAAAAAAUGUAUUCAAUAUGAAGUUGAUGAAUCGGGUCCACUAAAGUGGCAAUGGAGAGAUAAUAAAUUGUUUUUUAAUUUUUUAUAAAAUUUAAAAUUCAUUCGGCGAGAAGUUUUUUUAGUGACAU